rnacentral:tRNA from 1 species
GGAGAUGUACUCAAGAGGUCAUAAGAGGUCGCACUCGAAAUGCGAUAGGCCCUCCGGGGUGCGUGGGUUCGAAUCCCACCAUCUCCG